AGGUGGCAGCAAAUCUUCACUCCAGGUGACCAGGGUCCAGCCUCUUCGCUGGUGAAACGGCUUCCAUUUCUCCUAACUGCAGGACUUCACAUGUGCGACUUCACAUGGAACAGCUUUUCCUGGACAGUGCUGAGCCUGGGUGUGACGCCAGAUGUCGAGGCCGCCUUGCUGCCUGCCAAAUCUAGGACUUGCAGUGAAUGUACCAAGAAAGGAUGUUUCGAGCCACCACGAGACCUCGUUAGUAGGUGAAACUUUCCAAACAUGGCCUGGGCUGUGUCAAUAACCAGUGAAUCGCUUGUCACAAGAAUACAGCACGCCACUUAAAAUUUUGUGUCUGAACAAGAAUCCGAAGACAUUGAUUGUAGCUCUUUCAGCACUGACAGUUAUCCCUCACUGAAUUCGUGAAAUAUGCUUUUGGAGCCCUUCUCCUUCGAGCUUCAGCUGAACGUAUUUGUCACUGACUUGGCUCUUUAAUGUUGCAAGAUCUCCUUUAAGAAGCAGCUUCCUCAGUCUGAGCCCUUUUAAUGAAGA